rnacentral:rRNA from 1 species
UACGAAGGGUGCAAGCGUUACUCGGAAUUACUGGGCGUAAAGCGUGCGUAGGUGGUUUGUUAAGUCUGAUGUGAAAGCCCUGGGCUCAACCUGGGAACGGCAUUGGAAACUGGCUUACUAGAGUGCGGUAGAGGGGUGUGGAAUUCCCGGUGUAGCAGUGAAAUGCGUAGAUAUCGGGAGGAAUACCAGUGGCGAAGGCGGCUGCCUGGCCUGUUCUUGACGCUGAGGCGCGAAAGCUGGGGGAGCAAACGGG